rnacentral:lncRNA from 1 species
GAAUGAAACCGUGAUGAGCACUCAAUGUUUUAGCGAGAUAAUGACUCCCAGGUUUCACUCAAGAUCUCACCAUGGUUGAUGUAUGUUAAACUGUGGUUAGAUUGCUUUUGGACCACAGAUAGAGGAAACGGCUACUCUAGCCAGCAAGGCUUCCGUACCCAUUUGUCCUCUGGUGCAUUCAAAUGUUAAAGGAGUCAUUGUCGUCUUAUGCACGCGUUUUCUCAUGAUGUGGUGUCUUGCGACAAAUCGGAGGAGCGUCUGCUUUAGGUCACAGAGUGAGUCCCUUGUAUUUGCUAUAAAAGGAACUUUAAGGUAGAGAGUUGUUUAAGGUGAGUAUUGGUCAUACAGAGAGUGAGAGAGAAAAACUUGUAUUUGCUUAAACUUAUUCAUAGUUUUCUCUAGGUUCUAGGAACAGACAGAGUGAGCAUCAAGUGCUGGUGAAGGGCAUUGGUGCGGGUCACUUGUUGUUCUUAUUGUAAUCUCUCUGUGUGUGUUUGAAUCUAGUGGAUUCCGAGUAUAAUACUCGGCCCAGACUUAGCUACCCUUUGGGAGUGAACUGGGUUACCAAAGUUCUCGUGUUUGCUCUGUUUUCUUUCUGUUUCAAAGUCUUUAAAACACCACAAAGCAAAGCUCUGUUCUUUCCUCUGUUUCUGACACGCACAAACUCGAUUCUGUUUCUCUGUUCGUGGUUUGUUUGUUUUUUCUCUCAAGGAAAGUCGACACCUUUGAGGAAAGAAAUCCUUACAAAGUGGUAUCAGAGCAUUAGGUUCGUUGUUCUCUGGUUCUGUGAAGUUUCAAAGACACUGAACCAUGUCAUCGGCUCGAAUAGAGAUUGAAAAGUUUGAUGGAAGGGGAGACUAUACUAUGUGGAAAGAGAAACUAAUGGCGCAUCUGGAUAUCCUAGGUCUGAGCUCUGCGUUAAAGGAAGUUGAUGCUUUGGUGGAGAAAACGUCGGGUUUGACGCUGACUGAAGAAGAAGAGAAAGAAGAGAUAACAAAGCAAGAAGCUUUGGAGGAAAAAAGGAGAAAAGCACGGAGCACCGUUGUGCUAAGUGUUACUGAUAGAGUUCUGAGGAAGAUCAAGAAACAACCAACCGCUGCGGCUAUGAUAAGCGCAUUAGACAAGCUGUAUAUGUCUAAAGCGCUACCUAACAGGAUCUAUCUGAAGCAGAAGCUAUACAGCUUCAAGAUGUCUGAAAAUCUCAGCAUAGAAGGUAAUAUCGAUGAAUUUCUACAUAUUAUAGCUGAUCUAGAGAACACAAAUGUUAUUGUUUCGGAUGAAGAUCAAGCUAUAUUGUUGUUGAUGUCAUUACCUAAGCCGUUUGAUCAACUGAGGGAUACCCUAAAGUAUGGUUCUGGAAGGACCACUUUAACGUUAGAUGAAGUCAUUAAUGCAACUUACUCAAAGGAGCUUGAGUUUGGAUCUAACAAGAAGAGUAUCAAGGGUCAAGCUGAAGUUCUCUAUGCAAAAGAGAAAACUGAGGUUAGAGGAAGAACUGAACAGAGAGACAAGAAUAACACCAAAGGACAGAGAUCCAGAUCUAAGUCAAGAUCUAAGAAAGGGUGUUGGAUUUGUGGAGAGGAAGGGCACUUCAAGGGCUCUUGUCCUAACAAGAAUAAGUCUCAGACUCAGUCAAAAGGCAACAAUGCUAGCAAAGGAGAAUCGUCAAAUGGUAAAAGUCAUUUAGCUGAAGCAAAUGGCCUAUAUGUGUCAGAAGCACUGUCCUCUACUGACAUUCAUCUCGAAGACGAAUGGGUCAUGGAUACUGGCUGCAGUUAUCACAUGACACACAAGAGGGAAUGGUUUGAUGAUCUAGAUGAGAAUGCUGGCGGUACUGUGAGAAUGGGCAACAAGACUGUUGCUAGAGUAAAAGGAGUCGGUUCUAUCAGAAUGAUAAAUGAAGCAGGCACAAGUGUUACUCUUACAAAUGUAAGAUAUGUCCCAGAGAUGGAUAGAAACCUUUUGUCCUUGGGAACUUUCGAAAAGGCUGGUUGUAGUUUUGAGUCAGAAAAUGGGAUCUUAAGUAUCAAGUCCGCAGGAAGUGUGUUUCUGACUGGUAGGAGAUGUGACACACUGUAUUUGCUGCAAUGGAGACCUGCAAAUGGAGAAUCACUUGCAGUAACAAGGAGACAAGAUGAUACUGUUCUGUGGCAUAGGAGAUUGGGACAUAUGAGUCAGAAAAACAUGAGUCUACUGCUGAAAAAGGGGCUUCUUGACAAGAAGAAGGUCUCAACUUUUGAGACAUGUGAAGACUGCAUUUAUGGUAGAGCCAAGAGGAUUGGUUUCACUUUGGCUCAACAUGAUACAAAAGAGAAGCUUGAAUAUGUUCACUCUGACCUAUGGGGAGCUCCAUCAGUGCCAUUUUCUCUUGGUAAGUGUCAAUAUUUUAUAUCAUUUAUUGAUGAUUACACAAGAAAAGUCUGGGUCUAUUUUCUAAAAACUAAAGAUGAGGCAUUUGAGAAGUUUGUUGAUUGGAUUAACUUUGUGGAGAAUCAAUGUGAUAAGAGAGUUAAAACUCUUAGAACAGACAAUGGGCUUGAGUUUUGUAACAGGUUAUUUGAUGAGUUCUGCAUGUCUAAGGGGAUUCAAAGGCAUAGAACGUGUGCAUAUACUCCACAACAAAACGGUGUUGCAGAGCGUAUGAACAGAACUCUGAUGGAGAAAGUAAGAAGCAUGAUGUGUGACUCUGGUCUCCCAAAGAAAUUUUGGGCAGAAGCUACACAUACUGCAGCUAUUAUCAUCAAUAAGACUCCAUCAUCGGCUCUGAACUUUGAGGUGCCUGAUAAGAAAUGGUUUGGUAAAGCACCAGUCUACAGUUAUUUAAGAAGAUUCGGGUGUAUCGCCUUUGUUCAUACUGAUGAUGGUAAACUCAGCCCUAGAGCAAAGAAGGGAGUUCUUAUAGGUUAUCAAACUGGGGUGAAGGGCUACAAGAUCUGGUUACUUGAAGAAAGGAAGUGUGUUGUGAGUAGAAAUGUGAUUUUUCAAGAAAAUGCUGCUUACAAAGAUUUGAUGCAGAAGAAGGAAGCAGUGUAUGAUGAAGAAGAUGCCACUCCUAACUCCUAUCUUGAUCUUGAUCUUGAUAUUGAUGAGGGUUCUACCUCAGGUGGAGAUAACCUGAAUGAGUCUGUUGUGCAGUCACCUGCAAGAUCAAGUCCUGCAACUCAUGCAAUUCGUAAUGAUGAUGUUGGUAUUCAGACUGACUUAAGUCAGUCACCUCCAAGUUACCAUCUAGCAAGGGAUAGAACAAGAAGAGAGAUCAGAGCACCAAGACGCUUUGAUGAUGAAGACUAUUUUGCUGAAGCUCUUUACACCACAGAAGAUGGUGGAGAAAUUGAACCAGAAAAUUACAGGGAAGCUAAAAGAGAUGCAAAUUGGCUCAAAUGGAAGCUUGCUAUGGAUGAGGAAAUGAAUUCUCAGACCAAGAAUCAUACUUGGACUGUAGUUAAAAGGCCAUUGAAUCAAAAGGUUAUUGGCAGCUGAUGGAUUUUCAAGUUCAAAAUGGGAAUCCCAGGAGUUGAGGAACCAAGAUUCAAAGCAAGGCUUGUAGCCAAGGGAUAUGCUCAAAGAGAAGGUGUGGACUAUCAUGAGAUCUUUGCUCCAGUAGUCAAGCAUGUCUCUAUAAGGAUCUUACUGUCAAUUGUUGCUCAAGAGGACUUGGAGUUAGAGCAACUAGAUGUUAAAACAGCUUUCCUACAUGGUGAGCUCAAAGAGAAGAUCUACAUGACACCUCCUGAAGGUUAUGAAUCCAUAUUCAAAGAAGAUGAGGUGUGUCUGCUAAAUAAAUCCCUUUAUGGUCUGAAGCAAGCUCCAAAGCAAUGGAAUGAGAAAUUUGACACAUAUAUGUCAGAGAUCGGAUUUGUGAGAAGUUAUUUUGACAGUUGUGCAUACAUGAAAGAACUUCCUGGUGGUUCAAUGGUUUACUUGCUGCUCUAUGUAGACGAUAUGCUGGUAGCAGCCAAGAAUAAAGAGGAUAUUGUUCAGCUCAAAGAAGACCUUAAUCAGAAGUUUGACAUGAAGGAUUUAGGUGAAGCUAAAAGAAUUCUGGGCAUGGAGAUUGUCAGAAACAGAGGAGAUGGUGUUCUCUGGUUAUCACAAGAAGGCUAUUUGAAUAAGAUUCUUGAAACUUAUUCUAUGACUGAAGCAAAGUCUGCACUAACUCCUCUGGGAGCUCACUUAAAAUUGAGAGCAGCAACAGUUGAGAAACAGGCACAGGAUGAAGACUACAUGAAAUCAAUUCCCUACUCAAAUGCUGUAGGAAGCAUCAUGUACGCAAUGCUAGGUACUCGUCCUGAUCUUGCUUAUCCUGUUGGUAUGAUCAGCCGUUUCAUGACUAAUCCUGUUAAAGAGCACUGGCUUGGAGUCAAGUGGGUCUUAAGAUACAUAAAUGGUACUCAGAAGACUAAGUUGUUCUACCAGAAGAGUUCUGAGUUUAAGAUUGUUGGUUAUUGUGAUGCUGAUCAUGGAGCUGAUCGUGACAAGAGAAGAUCAAUCACUGGACUUGUGUUUACUCUUGGAGGAAACACUAUCAGUUGGAAGUCAGGAUUACAGAGAGUUGUGGCUCUCUCAAGUACUGAAGCUGAAUAUAUGUCACUGACAGAAGCAGUGAAAGAAGCAGUAUGGCUUAAGGGUCUGCUAAAGGAGUUUGGGUAUGAACAAAGGAGUGUUGAGAUUCACUGUGAUUCUCAAAGUGCAAUAGCACUCUCCAAGAAUAAUGUGCAUCAUGAAAGAACAAAGCACAUAGACAUCAGAUAUCACUAUAUCCGGGAUGUGAUUGCAAAUGGUGAUGUUGAUGUGGUCAAGAUUUCUACUGAGAAGAAUCCAGCAGACAUCUUUACCAAGAUCGUGCCUGUAAAUAAGUUUCAGGCGGCCUUGACCUACCUACAGGUCAAGUCUGAGUAAGUAUGCUCAGGGAAUCCGAGUAUGGGAUCCUGCAACUAGAUUUAAAAGGUAUCUUUCUCUUCUCUCUUAGGUUCUGUGAGUUUGUGUGCUACUGUCAUCAAGGUUUCAGGUGGAGAUUUGUGAAGAAUGAAACCGUGAUGAGCACUCAAUGUUUUAGCGAGAUAAUGACUCCCAGGUUUCACUCAAGAUCUCACCAUGGUUGAUGUAUGUUAAACUGUGGUUAGAUUGCUUUUGGACCACAGAUAGAGGAAACGGCUACUCUAGCCAGCAAGGCUUCCGUACCCAUUUGUCCUCUGGUGCAUUCAAAUGUUAAAGGAGUCAUUGUCGUCUUAUGCACGCGUUUUCUCAUGAUGUGGUGUCUUGCGACAAAUCGGAGGAGCGUCUGCUUUAGGUCACAGAGUGAGUCCCUUGUAUUUGCUAUAAAAGGAACUUUAAGGUAGAGAGUUGUUUAAGGUGAGUAUUGGUCAUACAGA